rnacentral:tRNA from 1 species
GCCUCAUUAGCUCAGAAGUUGAGCAUUAGUCUCGUAAACUCAAGAUCGGGAGUUCGAAUCUCUCAUGAGGCU